CCUAGCGGCAGACGGGUGAGUAACAUGUGGGAAUCUGCCUUUUGGUUCGGAACAACACGGGGAAACCUGUGCUAAUACCGGAUAAGUCCUAACGGAGAAAGUUUUAAUGCCAAAAGAUGAGCCCGCAUUUGAUUAGCUAGUUGGUAAGGUAAAAGCUUACCAAGGCGACAAUCAAUAGCUGAUUUGAGAGGAUGAUCAGCCACACUGGAACUGGAACACGGACCAGACUCC
rnacentral:rRNA from 1 species